AGACAUGUGCCCGAAAACUAAGGGUUACUUUGAUAGAGUAAAUCAUAAGAGCUUAACCUCUUCAUGUCUU
rnacentral:tRNA from 1 species